UUCCCACCAUCAUGUUACAUACUUGGGAUCGCGUGUUCAGUGUUACUUUUUUAGUGCAUACAGCGUUUUGCAUGUGAUCCCAAUUAAAACUCAUGGCUGACUUGUAGUAAAUCCUCCAUUAAAGCCCAAUUUGUGUACAACAAUAAAUAGUUGCACCAUUUACAGCUGUGGAUGUUUGCCAAGUUACCAUUGAUCUCAUGGCUACUUCUCUGAUCUAUCCUCAUUUUGACCGACGUGCUAGUUUAAGCAGUUCAGUGUGUCUUCUAGUUUUUUAUUUGUGCCAGACUUCAAUUUUCAAAAUUUAGAUUGAAUGCUGAUCUUUUAGAUGUUCGGAGCUUGGGGUGUUGCUUUCUAACUUUUAUUAUUAUACAAUUUAUGCGACUUCUGGGAAGAAUACAAAUGCAAAACCCAGAAUUUUAUUUGUAAAACAAAGAGGAAAGGUUUUGAUCCCUUUUGUUACAUUUCACAGACAUGUUUAGUGUUGGUCUAAGUCAUAAAAUAUAUCAGGUUGUAGUUUCAGUGUGACACAAUAUGACUUACGGUGUAUUUCUGACUGCACUGUAAGAUGCAGUCAGAGACUUGCUCCAACUUUACAGAAACAAAUAUAGCGUUUUUCUCCUUAUUGUCAGAUCUCUGACCUGCCCCACCAUCUCCUCACUUUGACUGUUUCUUGUUACCAGGAUGGAGUGACAGCUUGUCAACGCGGCUGCUCCAUAAUAAGACUCCAACCUCCUCUGGCUGUUGCAGAGCUCAUAAAAAAAAGGAAGAAAAAGCAUCAAGGUCUUCCACUCUCCUUCCUUCAGUCUUUUCUCUCUCUUCUCAAAGCAGAGAAUCAAUCAGCUGUACGCACACACAUCCAAGCACACGACUCAUUUCUUCUGCCUUCCCCUCGACUAUUCAGCAGCCAGUGAUCAUUUAGACUUGACAUGUAUUGUGAAAAACUGAGCUGCUUUGCCUCUUUCUUCCUCUCUUUCUUUCUCUCCUUUUCUCUUUCAACUGUCUGUCAUUAAUGUCCAGGUCUUACAAUAUACCGACGGAGGAGAGGAAGAAAGCAGAGAGUGAGGGAUGAAUUGAUGGAUGGGAGGAUAAGCACUCUGUGUCCUUUCUUUAAAGAUUUGUUAUUGUACAGUACUGUCUCACAGUCAUUUUUGGUUGGUGUUUCAGUCUGAAAGCCCAUCCACGUGCUCUUUUGUAUGGGAAAGCAAUAAGGCCCCAUUGAAUGAAGCUGAAUGGACCUGCCAUCCUUAGGGGCUGAGGCCUGAGGACUCCUAUUCUUUAGCCCCCAAUCUAAUUGGAGCUGAAAUGAAAUGGAGGUUUCUUAUGAAAAUAGGCUUUGUUUGGCUGCAAGGCUGGUAAUUCAUAAACAAUAAGCAGGGCUCCAUUGUGUAGAUAAUAAUAUAUUCAUGCCGCUGGAGAUGGGGAGAAGGCAAAGCGAAGGCUGAGGAUAUAUAAGGAGGAUAGGCAGAGACAGCGAUGGAGAGUGGAGGGGAGGAGGAAGACGAGGGGCUAAUAGCAAACAGUGGGUCAAGGAAAAUUGGUAAUGGUUGGGUAGAGGCGAAGGAUUUAAUAGAGCAAGUGAAAGGACUUAAAGUGGGCAGGAGUGAGAAGUGAGUGGGAGUGAGGGAGGUGAAAAUGACAGGAACGGGCGAGAUGGACAAGAUAAGGACGAGGCGAGAGGUGGUGGGUGGGUAGGAGAUUGGAAAAUGGCUACAGGUGACUGGUUUUGGAGGAAGCCAAGUGAGUAAAAGUAUCAUCAAAACUAGAGUGGCGGGGAGCUGAUAGAGACGAGCGGUCAAGUGCAGGGACAGAGCAGAGGGAACCGUGGCGAGAGGAUGCUGGUGUUGCUGCCGAGGUUUGAAAUCUGGAAGGAGGGAGGAAAAGAAAAAAAGGUCAGGGCUGUGCCUCUCUGUGGAGUUCAAUCGUUUUGAAAGUGGGGGAAGAGUUUCUCACUUCUAAGGACACGAGAAAACUGAGCUGGACGUGAGUGCUGCGUGGAGAUGCAGGCUGACUGAGGAGAUCCCCCGCUUCCUGUAGAGGAUCUACGCUGCUGUGACACUUAAUAUCUGUAUUAUUAUAUUACCUAGAAAAUGCUUUGGACGCUACCUGAAAACAAGGCUUAAAUGAAAACCUGCUGUACACCAGGGACAUGUUUUUUGAAAUGCAAAGUGACCGUGACCAGUGGACGUGGAUCACCCAGUGGAAACCGUAAUUUACUGAUAGCACCCUGUCUCCUCUCUCAGCUGGCAGGCCAUCAUUACAUCAAGCACUGGAAGAAAGGUGCUGUGAGGAAUGGAAAGAGGACCUUCAAGGAAAUGUCAGACAAUCACAUUCUUAAAUUUACUCUUUGCACUCUGAUUGCUGACCUUAUAAACUCUUGAAUGACACAAUGACAUCUCACUGAUUGCCCAAUAUUUUGUGUAAAAGUGAUUUCAGCACAUCUGGACCACAACACAAACGGUGCCCUUGCAGAAGUAUUCAUACCACCUGCAUAGAUAUGAGGUAGAUGUUAAAGGAUGCUUGGAAUUUUUUUUUAAUGUACAAUGCAUUUGUACAUUACUUAGCCACACAAAAAAAUGUCUCCACAAGUCACCUAUUUAAGUGAAUUAUUUUACAUCUAUGUGUUGUAAUCUUUGUAAAUAAAAAAAAAUGCAGCUCAUCUGUGAAAGUCUUGGGGGUUUGCCAGAGAACAUUGUUAAAGAAAAAACAUGACAACAUAAAAAAAAACACCAGCCGGGUCAGGGAUAAAGUUAAGGAGAAGUUUGAAAACACUACAAUGGCUGUGAACUUCUCAUGAAGUUCUUUUUAAUCUAUCAAUCAGAAAUGGACAGAUCAUGACACAGCUGGAGCUAAAUACACUCAAAUACUGGAAGAAAACCUGUUGGAGUAAAACAGACUACAGCAACCAUCCACCAGAGGCUUUAUUGGGACAGAUUAGAUCAAAGUGCAUUCAUAUGCCUCGUUUAGUGUAUAAAGUCCACACCUAAAUCCAAAUGUGAAUCCGCUGCAAAAUUGAAAGCUGAUGUACAGAGACGCUUGAUGUUGCACAUCGGUAGAGACAUAUCCCCAAAGGACUUGAAGCAAUUACAGCAACAGUUGCUUCUACAAAGUAUUAACUCUGAAUGUGUUAAUACAUUAACACACUGUGCUUUUUAGAGUUUGAUUUGUUUGGAAAAAAUGGAAAGAAAUGUGCUUAUUUACCUGCACUUGGCAAUCAUGCACUAGCUUGUGUUGAUCUAUCAGAUAAAUCUGAUUAAAUGCAUGGAGAAUUUCUAGUUGUAAUGCAUCAAAAUAUAAAGGAAUUCAAUGGGUGUGAAUACUUUUGUGAGGCACUGUGCACACAAGAACUGGGUUGCAUACUGCAGCUCUCCUUUUCUUGUCCCAUUUGCAGAAAACCUCACCAUCUUAAUAAUCUUAGCCCCUUAGCUGGCAUGCUUUCCAAGAAUCCGCUACAUUUUUUGUUUAGCAAAAAUCGUCACAAACUUUUCACGAGUAUUGAUAUUUACUGUGUAACCAGAGAACAGUCACCUUACACAGAGUUAGUGCCUGUUAAAGGGAAUCAAUCAAAACUCUGCUGUCUGUUUUCUGUCCGGCCAUGGCCCUCAGUCACUGCGGUAAGUGGGAGCAAUUUUAAUUUGAAAACAAACCUCUGGCAGGUUCUUUUUAUGCAGAUACACAAAGAAAUAGUGCUUAGUUAUGUUCUAAUUAACAUCUUUCUGGUGUGUGUGUGUGUGAGUGUGCAUGUCAUAUGUUGUUGUUUAGGUUCAGAGCCAAUGGUUUGUUUUACAGCUGAUGAUGUGAUUUUGGUUGGUUGUAGAGGUAAAAAAAAAAGAAGAGAAAAUUAAAUAAACAGAAAGUGUUCUUCCCUGUGUAAAGAUAAUAAUGCACAAAAAAAUUAAAUGUAUUUUCUAAUUCAGAAGUAAAUUAACUCCUCAAAGUAAAAGUUGCAGAAAAAGUUUCAGCAUUUAAAAUAUGUAUUAAUUCCAAGGCCUAAAUGUGCCCUCAAUUAUUCUACCAUUGCCUUUAAGUAAUUGAUUUUGGGCAGAGAAAAACAGGAGGUGGAGGGGUGAUCCUUGUUGUUAUGGGAAAAAAACUACAAAACCAAUAAAUGGGAAAAUAACUGACAUCGUAA